rnacentral:lncRNA from 1 species
CCUUCUUAUCCUUCCGUAAUUUCUCCUUCACGGUUAAAGUUGUGGGCAUCUUGUCAAUUCCCAACAAUGCAUCUUUUAAAUCCACCCGUGCGAGUACUACUCACAUCUUAAGUUGUAGUAGCGAGAAUCUAGUGCUCCGAUCCAAAAGAGGAACGUCAUACUUCAUGGAAGCUAUUGAGAAAAAAAAAACCUCGAACAAAUCAAACCUUGCUCUGAUACUAUUUGUUGUAAUUCGGAUCGAAGUUGUAUGGCAAAAUAUGAAAUUGUAAUAAUGGAGAAACAUACAAAUUGUGUUUCUCAUAAUGAAUCUAAAGUUCUAGGAAUCUCUGAGGUUAAAGUCUCCUCAUACUAAAUUGUAGAGAAGAGCCAAACACAUAUAGAGAACAAUCAAGUAAAAUUGAAGAUGAAAUAAAAUACUCAAAAGAUUCCUUAUCUUGAUCUCUUUGAGUCGAAUGCAAACUCCAACUUCCAAUAGAGCUUCCAAAUAGAAUUUCA